GCCUAGCCCUAAACCUCAGUAGUUGAGCAACAAAACUACUCGCCAGAAUACUACAAGCAACAGCUUGAAACUCAAAGGACUUGACGGUGCUUUACACCCCCUAGAGGAGCCUGUUCCAUAAUCGAUAAACCCCGAUCCACCCUACCCUCUCUUGCUCAGCCUAUAUACCGCCAUCUUCAGCAAACCCUGAUGAAGGCCACAAAGUGAGCGCAAAUGCCCACCCGCAAAAACGUUAGGUCAAGGUGUAGCCCAUGAGACGGUAAAAAAUGGGCUACAUUUUCUGCCUCAGAAUACCCACGAAAACUCUUAUGAAACCUAAGAGUCCAAGGAGGAUUUAGCAGUAAAUUAAGAAUAGAGUGCUUAAUUGAACCAGGCCAUAAAGCGCG
rnacentral:rRNA from 1 species